GCUUAACACAUGCAAGUCGAACGGUGAAGCCCAGCUUGCUGGGUGGAUCAGUGGCGAACGGGUGAGUAACACGUGAGCAACCUGCCCCUGACUCUGGGAUAAGCGCUGGAAACGGCGUCUAAUACUGGAUAUGUGAUGUGACCGCAUGGUCUGCAUCUGGAAAGAAUUUCGGUUGGGGAUGGGCUCGCGGCCUAUCAGCUUGUUGGUGAGGUAAUGGCUCACCAAGGCGUCGACGGGUAGCCGGCCUGAGAGGGUGACCGGCCACACUGGGACUGAGACACGGCCCAGACUCCUACGGGAGGCAGCAGUGGGGAAUAUUGCACAAUGGGCGCAAGCCUGAUGCAGCAACGCCGCGUGAGGGAUGACGGCCUUCGGGUUGUAAACCUCUUUUAGCAGGGAAGAAGCGAAAGUGACGGUACCUGCAGAAAAAGCACCGGCUAACUACGUGCCAGCAGCCGCGGUAAUACGUAGGGUGCAAGCGUUAUCCGGAAUUAUUGGGCGUAAAGAGCUCGUAGGCGGUUUGUCGCGUCUGCUGUGAAAUCUGGAGGCUCAACCUCCAGCCUGCAGUGGGUACGGGCAGACUAGAGUGCGGUAGGGGAGAUUGGAAUUCCUGGUGUAGCGGUGGAAUGCGCAGAUAUCAGGAGGAACACCGAUGGCGAAGGCAGAUCUCUGGGCCGUUACUGACGCUGAGGAGCGAAAGGGUGGGGAGCAAACAGGCUUAGAUACCCUGGUAGUCCACCCCGUAAACGUUGGGAACUAGUUGUGGGGUCCAUUCC
rnacentral:rRNA from 1 species